GACGAACGCUGGCGGCGUGCCUAAUACAUGCAAGUCGAGCGCUGAAGGUUGGAACUUGUACCGACUGGAUGAGCAGCGAACGGGUGAGUAACGCGUGGGGAAUCUGCCUUUGAGCGGGGGACAACAUUGGGAAACGAAUGCUAAUACCGCAUAAAAACUUUAAACACAAGUUGUAAGUGUGAAAGAUGCAAUUGCAUCACUCAAAGAUGAUCCCGCGUUGUAUUAGCUAGUUGGGGAGGUAAAGGCUCACCAAGGCGAUGAUACAUAGCCGACCUGGGAGGGUGAUCGGCCCCAUUUGGACCUGGGCCCCGCCCCAACCCCUUCGGGGGGCCGCCGUAGGGGAUCUUCGGCCAUGGCCGGAAGGCUGGCCGCGCAACGCCGCGUGAGUGAAGAAGGUUCUCGGAUCGUAAAACUCUGUUGGUAGGGAAGAACGUUGGUGGGAGUGGAAAGCUCAUCAAGUGACGGUAACUACCCAGAAAGCGACGGCUAACUACGUG
rnacentral:rRNA from 1 species